rnacentral:misc_RNA from 1 species
AAGUCGUAACAAGGUCUCCGUAGGUGAACCUGCGGAGGGAUCAUUACAGAGUUGCGAAACUCCCAAAAAAACAUUCGUGAAACUACCUCUCUGUCGUUGCUUCGGCGGGCAGCCCCCCGGGGGGUCGGCUCGCGGCCGUGUAAGACGGCGCCCGCCGGAGCGGCACGCACGGACUCUUUUUUUUGUGGGCCGCCCGCGGCCCCUCCGAGUUUGUUUACUUAAACAGUCAAAACUUUCAACAACGGAUCUCUUGGUUCUG